rnacentral:rRNA from 1 species
GAUGAACGCUGGCGGCGUGCCUAAUACAUGCAAGUCGAGCGAACAGAUAAGGAGCUUGCUCCUUUGACGUUAGCGGCGGACGGGUGAGUAACACGUGGGUAACCUACCUAUAAGACUGGAAUAACUCCGGGAAACCGGGGCUAAUGCCGGAUAACAUGUUGAACCGCAUGGUUCUACAGUGAAAGGCGGCUUUGCUGUCACUUAUAGAUGGACCCGCGCCGUAUUAGCUAGUUGGUGAGGUAACGGCUCACCAAGGCAACGAUACGUAGCCGACCUGAGAGGGUGAUCGGCCACACUGGAACUGAGACACGGUCCAGACUCCUACGGGAGGCAGCAGUAGGGAAUCUUCUGCAAUGGGCGAAAGCCUGACGGAGCAACGCCGCGUGAGUGAUGAAGGUCUUCGGAUCGUAAAACUCUGUUAUUAGGGAAGAACAAAUGCGUAAGUAACUGUGCGCGUCUUGACGGUACCUAAUCAGAAAGCCACGGCUAACUACGUG